rnacentral:rRNA from 1 species
UUCACGCCUGGUGGCGAGUGGCGAACGGGUGAGUAAUACAUCGGAACGUGCCCUGUAGUGGGGGAUAACUAGUCGAAAGAUUAGCUAAUACCGCAUACGACCUGAGGGUGAAAGCGGGGGACCGCAAGGCCUCGCGCUACAGGAGCGGCCGAUGUCUGAUUAGCUAGUUGGUGGGGUAAAAGCCUACCAAGGCGACGAUCAGUAGCUGGUCUGAGAGGACGAUCAGCCACACUGGGACUGAGACACGGCCCAGACUCCUACGGGAGGCAGCAGUGGGGAAUUUUGGACAAUGGGGGCAACCCUGAUCCAGCAAUGCCGCGUGUGUGAAGAAGGCCUUCGGGUUGUAAAGCACUUUUGUCCGGAAAGAAAUGGCCUGGGUUAAUACCUGGGGUCGAUGACGGUACCGGAAGAAUAAGCACCGGCUAACUACGUGCCAGCAGCCGCGGUAAUACGUAGGGUGCGAGCGUUAAUCGGAAUUACUGGGCGUAAAGCGUGCGCAGGCGGUUUUGUAAGACAGGCGUGAAAUCCCCGAGCUCAACUUGGGAAUGGCGCUUGUGACUGCAAGGCUAGAGUAUGUCAGAGGGGGGUAGAAUUCCACGUGUAGCAGUGAAAUGCGUAGAGAUGUGGAGGAAUACCGAUGGCGAAGGCAGCCCCCUGGGACGUCACUGACGCUCAUGCACGAAAGCGUGGGGAGCAAACAGGAUUAGAUACCCUGGUAGUCCACGCCCUAAACGAUGUCAACUAGUUGUUGGGGAUUCAUUUCUUCAGUAACGUAGCUAACGCGUGAAGUUGACCGCCUGGGGAGUACGGUCGCAAGAUUAAAACUCAAAGGAAUUGACGGGGACCCGCACAAGCGGUGGAUGAUGUGGAUUAAUUCGAUGCAA